CGCUGCCUUCACACAUUUCAUCUCCUUAAAAAAAACAGUGGUGAGAAGACCUCAAGGUGGACGUCUGGAGUUCUGAAACUGCAAACAUGAUCGCCAUGUUUCGCCGAUUGGCCGCCCUGCUCUUCGGCACGGCCUCCGAGGACGAGCAGACAGGCGACGAGCCGCGCGAUCCCGAUGGGGCCUCGAAAGAUCCCGCGACGGGUGAAGUCCCAUCCGUUUCCGAGGGUGUGGGUGAAACUCUAAUGAGGGUAUCCGAGAGGGCAUCCCCCGAGGCAUCUCCAUCGAACCCUUCUGGCAUGACCCGUCAAUCGGCCAUGGCCUGCGGUCCACCAGAGCCACCACUGAAGGAGGACAAAUGGGUGCUGGUCCAACCUGCCGAGGGCACUGCAUCCCUUGGAGUUGAGAUUGAAGAUGGAGCAAUGGCUGUGGAUCCACCACCUGCAUAUGCUGAUUGUGGUGGUUUACUUGUUGAAGACACUGAAAGUGAUUUUGAGAGUGACACACAACCAACGCCAGAAGAAAGUGAUGCUCUCUGUCUUAAUAAUGGUGCAGUGAUGCAAAAGGGUGACCCUACACUUCGAUCUUUGCCCACCGCACGACCGCCUUUAAAAAGGUCGGCAGAAGCCCUCGGCCUUGUGCGCUUGAUGACCCUCGCGCCGAGCGCGAUACCCAAUGAACCGUGUAAUCGGAGGGCGAUGAGACGUCAGAACCUCGUCCACGAAACCCGGCCGGGCGGUCGUAAAGGUCCAAGGAGGACGAGGCAGCAAAUGCGGCCGAUCCAGCAGCCGAACCCCCGUGGUGGCGGUUACUGAUGUGGUGGAGGCAGUCGGGUUGUGUGUGCGGUGAGGUGGUGGUGUGCGUGCGUGUGCACGCGUGUUUUUUUUGUUUGUUUAUUUCGUAACUGCUGGAGCAGCAAGUUAUUAGGUGAUAAGGAUUGUAUAUUAAAAGUACAUGUGUAAUCUUGUUUUAUGUUGUUGUUCAUAUUAACCGAUUAUCAGGGAUUCAUAUAACCUGGUUAUCCCAUUCAAAGGAAAAGAGUGCCUCGUGUACUGGUACACAACACCGAUAACAUUUUAUUAGUUAUAAAGUACAGUAGUCAUGACCUUGAGUGCAAAGGGUUGUGUGACCUCAAGUUCACUUCGUUCUCAACUGAAUUGUAAUUGUAACACUCAGUUUUAAUAAAUGACUGUCCAAGAGUUAAUAAAACUAUUUCCACGAUUGUUUAUUGAUUUUUACCUUAAAUACAAUGAAGUAAUCUUUCACACAAUGCCUCUUGGAGGGACAUGGAAAGCUUUGUGGAUUUUAAGUGCCGUCACAUGUAUUGUUAGUGCAAAUCACGUAAAACCCGGAAGUGGAUGGGAAAAUGAAGCGGUACAGGGUGUCUCGAUAAAAUUUACAUACAGACAUCACCCUAAACCAUACUAUGUUGCCAUUGUUCACUGAGUGAUGCCGUGCGAUCAUUCCAUCGCAUGCUAACACCCUCUGUUCGGUAUUACGAAUGUUCAACAUCGCCCUCUUUCUGCUGUUUAAUUUCUCUAAAAUAUUAAACUCUGAAUAUAUAUUAUUUUUGAGACACCUUGUACAAAUAGGUGCAAGCAGUUGGGAUAGACUGCCUCGUCAUACUUUGAAAAUGACAGAUUCAGCACCUCCUCUUGUCUGAAAGUCGAACACCAUGAGCGUUUCUGGUCACAUGUGGCCAUUAGAGGAAGUUUUGUCCCCCUUGGUCUUAAACAUAUGAGAUAGAAUUGAUCAAUCGUCCUGAAGCUUCGUCCGAAUAACUAAAUCAAAUGAACACCUGCGUUCAAAUAUGAAGGUUUCCUAAUUCAUCAUUCCCGAUUGCAUGAAUGUGAAUGGAACGAUCGUUGCAUAAUGUUGAUGGAAUGGUCCCCGUAUCACUUGGCGUAUGUCACGUGUCAUCUCAUCGGUGGUGUUUCUCGCUUGGAGUGUGUAGGCCUAUUUGUACAUUGAAACAUGGCUGCUUUCAGCUUGCGUGAGCAACGUGUUCAAUAUGUGAGUGACCUCGAAAUUUGAACAUUAAAGUGGAAAAACUCCUGAUGACGUUCGUUGCUAACUGGUGCGUUGAGUCGACCAUGAACAUGAUAGAGUCAACCAUGGAUGUGAGAACCAUGCGGAGUUGGUUGAGGAGGUUUAAAAAGGGACAUCAAAGCUGAGUCUCACUCCCAAUUUGGACUCACCUCCACCAAAGGUCUUUUCAGAUGCUCGUGGCAUCGUCGUCGCCCAUUGAGUUCCAAAAGGACAAUUAUUACUGGCAGCAGUUACCAUGAGCGUUUGGAGAAAUGUUCUCUGUCUGUCACAUGGAAUAAAUGUCCAGAACUUGCAUGGUCAGGAUUUUGAUUACACCAUGACACUGUCCCAUUAUAGCUGCUUCUGAGAUGUGAGAAUUAUUCAGAGCACACGAUUAACUGCUUCCACAUCCACAGUAUUCACUGUAACUUGUACCCGAUGACUGUUGGUUGUAUCGUAGAAGAAAAAAAAAAUGACACUCUGCCUUCGUGGUUCCAACUUCUCCAACUCAGUUUGCAUCAGUCGAAUAUCCAAAAAGAAACCUUCAUGACAGCCUGAACAUCAAGGAUGGGCAGAUACUAAAAGUGUGUAGCACUUUGUGUGU
ensembl:lincRNA